rnacentral:lncRNA from 1 species
UUUUCUCUCUAUUUCUCUCUCGAUAUUUUGAGCGUAUUCUUGUGAGUAUACUUUGAGUGUUGAUAUACGGUGCAAGUUCAAGUCAUAGCCUAUAUCCGGUGUUUCAACUAGAAGUACUGUCUUUCGAGGUAAGGGAUAUUAUUUUUUUUCGUGAUAAUAUUAUUUCUUCAAUAUCAUUAUGCUGAAAUAUUGAUCUGAAGUUUUUAUCAAAUUUGGAACUUUUUCAUGUCGGGGUUACUAUUCAUGAGUUACUAUUCAUGAGUUACUAUUCACGAGUUACUAUUCAUAAGUUCUAUUCACGAAGCGUGAAGAUGUUUUUUGUGAAAUUUCUAUCUUUUGGUGUUGGAGUUACUAUUCACGUAUACGGUACUAUUCACGAAUACGGCACUAUUCAUCGAAAAAUGAAAAUUUUUCUUUUCGUCCAAAAUAUCUAUUGUGGAUACUAGCUUUGAUUGUAUCCAUGUUUUGAUCAUUCUUGAAUUUUACACCACUAUGAUUAUUUUUG